CCCUGUUCCGUGUGCAGCAUCUUCUAUUCGCUGCCCUGAAACUCUCGUGUGAAGGGGGGACAGCUCCAUUCUGGGAAGGCGUGGCUUCUGCUAGUCGAGCCGCUCAAAAAGCUGGUAUUCACAGAGAGGCCACUAAUUGCAGAAGGUUGCCCCCCUUAUUACAAGAAAAUGGCGCCCAAGAGUUGGAAAAAGAGGCUCGACGGAGGACCUUCUGCAGCCUUUAUGCUUUGGACAGCCAUUUAGCCAGACAGCUGGAUCGGAUUCCGUUCUUGCCAGACAAUUCAGUCGUGGAGAUAUUACCCCGGUUGCGCUUAAUCGCUGAUAUUGGCGAUUCACCAUCAGACAUAGAUGGUAGUGCUCCCGAUAUAUUCACCGAGCGGCUCAUGGAAGUUCAGCUAGCCCGAUUCUGUCGGAGUCUAAAUUUAAAGCAGAACUCUAAGUAUGACCCAACAGAGAGUGAGCACAGAUAUGAGAGACUUUGCGCCGAAUAUCUCCCUAGCGUACACGCGGCUUUCGCUGUAGACAAACCAGAUAUGACAUGGGACGAGGCUCUCCCCAAGCUACCCAUGCAAAGGCAGCUUUUCUACAUCGCUAUUUUCGACUCGGUCUGUUGGAAUUUCCGACCCCUUCUAUUACUCAAACCUAACGAUGUCGCAAGUCUACCGCCUUACAAGCGCGUACUCCUGCAAUCGCAAAAGCUAAGGCUCGGCCUCGCUGCACUGAAAGAGCUCGAGGCCGUGACCGCCCUCCAUUUAAUGUUUGGCGGCUCAUACACGCGCUUUGGCGCUAUCAUUUUCAACACCUUCGAGGCUGCCGUACUUUUACUCUGUCUUUGCACGCAUGCAGAUUUCCCAUUUGACC
rnacentral:sRNA from 1 species